UACGUAGGGUGCAGAGCGAUGAAUUGAAUCUGGGCGUAAAGCGUGCGCAGGCGGUUCUGUUAAAGACCGUAUGUGAAAAUCCCCCGGGGCUUAACCACUGGGAAUUGCGUUGGAGACUGCAAGGCUAGAAUCUGGCAGAGGGGGGUAGAAUUCCACGUGUAGCAGUGAAAUGCGUAGAUAUGCGGAGGAACACCGAUGGCGAAGGCAAUCCCCUGGGCCUGCACUGACGCUCAUGCACGAAAGCGUGGGGAGCAAACAGG
rnacentral:rRNA from 1 species